CCUACGGGAGGCAGCAGUGAGGAAUAUUGGUCAAUGGGCGGAAGCCUGAACCAGCCAAGUAGCGUGCAGGAUGACGGCCCUACGGGUUGUAAACUGCUUUUAUACGGGAAUAACGCGCCUUACUAGUAGGGCUUUGCAUGUACCGUAUGAAUGAGGACCGGCUAAUUCCGUUCCAGUAGCCGCGGUCAUACGGCAGUUCCGGGCGUUAUCCGGAUUUUUUGGGUUUAAAGGGAGCGUAGGCCGCAAGGCAAGCGUGUCGUGAAAUGUCCGGGCUCAAACAGGGCCUUGCAGCGCGAACUGGGGUGCUUGAGGCCGCGGAAGGCAGGCGGAAUUCGUGGUGUAGCGGUGAAAUGCUUAGAUAUGAGGAAGAACCCCGGUGGCGAAGGCAGCUUGCUGCAGCGGAACUGACGCUGAGGCUCGAAAGCGCGGGUAUCGAACAGGAUUAGAUACCCUUGUAGUC
rnacentral:rRNA from 1 species